rnacentral:rRNA from 1 species
CUUUACUAUAGCUUGGAAUUGUGUUCGGGCUUGCUGUGCGCAGUAUAGGUGGGAGGCGUUGAAGGUAUCCUUGUGGGGAUACUAGAGCCAACAGUGAGAUACCACUCUCAGAAAGCUAGAAUUCUAACGGUAAAACCGGAAAGUUUCAGGUGGGUAGUUUGACUGGGGCGGUCGCCUCCAAAAAAGUAACGGAGGCGUACAAAGGUUACCUCAGACUGGUUGGAAAUCAGUCGUAGAGUGCAAAAGCAGAAGGUAGCUUGACUGCGAGACUGACAAGUCAAGCAGGGUGGAAACACGGUUUUAGUGAUCCGACGGUGCUGUGUGGAAGGGCCGUCGCUCAACGGAUAAAAGUUA